rnacentral:rRNA from 1 species
UGGGGAAUCUUGGGCAAUGGGCGCAAGCCUGACCCAGCAACGCCGCGUGAGGGAAGAAGGCUUUCGGGUUGUAAACCUCUGUCCUUGGUGACGAAAAAAAUGACGGUAGCCAAGGAGGAAGCCCCGGCUAACUACGUGCCAGCAGCCGCGGUAAUACGUAGGGGGCGAGCGUUGUCCGGAAUUACUGGGCGUAAAGGGUGCGUAGGUGGCCUUUUAAGUUGGAUGGGAAAUACCCGGGCUUAACUUGGGGGGUGCAUCU